rnacentral:rRNA from 1 species
CCUACGGGAGGCUGCAGUGGGGAAUAUUGGACAAUGGGCGAAAGCCUGAUCCAGCCAUGCCGCGUGUGUGAAGAAGGCCUUCGGGUUGUAAAGCACUUUCAGUGGGGAAGAAAGCCUUGGGGCUAAUACCCUCGAGGAAGGACAUCACCCACAGAAGAAGCACCGGCUAACUCCGUGCCAGCAGCCGCGGUAAUACGGAGGGUGCGAGCGUUAAUCGGAAUUACUGGGCGUAAAGCGCGCGUAGGCGGUCUGAUAAGCCGGUUGUGAAAGCCCCGGGCUCAACCUGGGAACGGCAUCCGGAACUGUCAGGCUAGAAUGCAGGAGAGGAAGGUAGAAUUCCCGGUGUAGCGGUGAAAUGCGUAGAGAUCGGGAGGAAUACCAGUGGCGAAGGCGGCCUUCUGGACUGACACUGACGCUGAGGUGCGAAAGCGUGGGUAGCAAACAGGAUUAGAUACCCGUGUAGUC